rnacentral:rRNA from 1 species
AUGAACGCUGGCGGCGUGCCUAAUACAUGCAAGUCGAGCGAACAGAUAAGGAGCUUGCUCCUUUGACGUUAGCGGCGGACGGGUGAGUAACACGUGGGUAACCUACCUAUAAGACUGGGAUAACUUCGGGAAACCGGAGCUAAUACCGGAUAACAUUUGGAACCGCAUGGUUCUAAAGUGAAAGAUGGUUUUGCUAUCACUUAUAGAUGGACCCGCGCCGUAUUAGCUAGUUGGUAAGGUAACGGCUUACCAAGGCGACGAUACGUAGCCGACCUGAGAGGGUGAUCGGCCACACUGGAACUGAGACACGGUCCAGACUCCUUCGGGAGGCAGCAGUAGGGAAUCUUCCGCAAUGGGCGAAAGCCUGACGGAGCAACGCCGCGUGAGUGAUGAAGGGUUUCGGCUCGUAAAACUCUGUUAUUAGGGAAGAACAAAUGUGUAAGUAACUGUGCACGUCUUGACGGUACCUAAUCAGAAAGCCACGGCUAACUACGUG